ACGAACGCUGGCGGCACGCUUAACACAUGCAAGUCGAACGAGAGAAGAGAAGCUUGCUUUUCUGAUCUAGUGGCGGACGGGUGAGUAACACGUGAGCAAUCUGCCUUUCAGAGGGGGAUACCGAUUGGAAACGAUCGUUAAUACCGCAUAACAUAAUUGAACCGCAUGAUUUGAUUAUCAAAGAUUUAUCGCUGAAAGAUGAGCUCGCGUCUGAUUAGCUAGUUGGUAAGGUAACGGCUUACCAAGGCGACAAUCAGUAGCCGGACUGAGAGGUUGAUCGGCCACAUUGGGACUGAGACACGGCCCAGACUCCUACGGGAGGCAGCAGUGGGGAAUAUUGCACAAUGGAGGAAACUCUGAUGCAGCGAUGCCGCGUGAGGGAAGAAGGUUUUAGGAUUGUAAACCUCUGUCUUCAGGGACGAAAAAUGACGGUACCUGAGGAGGAAGCUCCGGCUAACUACGUGCCAGCAGCCGCGGUAAUACGUAGGGAGCGAGCGUUGUCCGGAAUUACUGGGUGUAAAGGGAGCGUAGGCGGGAUCGCAAGUCAGAUGUGAAAACUAUGGGCUUAACCCAUAAACUGCAUUUGAAACUGUGGUUCUUGAGUGAAGUAGAGGUAAGCGGAAUUCCUAGUGUAGCGGUGAAAUGCGUAGAUAUUAGGAGGAACAUCAGUGGCGAAGGCGGCUUACUGGGCUUUAACUGACGCUGAGGCUCGAAAGCGUGGGGAGCAAACAGGAUUAGAUACCCUGGUAGUCCACGCCGUAAACGAUGAUUACUAGGUGUGGGGGGACUGACCCCUUCCGUGCCGCAGCAAACGCAAUAAGUAAUCCACCUGGGGAGUACGACCGCAAGGUUGAAACUCAAAGGAAUUGACGGGGGCCCGCACAAGCAGUGGAGUAUGUGGAUUAAUUCGAAGCAACGCGAAGAACCUUACCAGGUCUUGACAUCGUAUGCAUAGCUCAGAGAUGAGUGAAAUCUCUUCGGAGACAUAUAGACAGGUGGUGCAUGGUUGUCGUCAGCUCGUGUCGUGAGAUGUUGGGUUAAGUCCCGCAACGAGCGCAACCCUUACUGUUAGUUGCUACGCAAGAGCACUCUAGCAGGACUGCCGUUGACAAAACGGAGGAAGGUGGGGAUGACGUCAAAUCAUCAUGCCCCUUAUGACCUGGGCCUCACACGUACUACAAUGGCUGUCAACAGAGGGAAGCAAAGCCGCGAGGUGGAGCAAACCCCUAAAAGCAGUCUUAGUUCGGAUUGUAGGCUGCAACCCGCCUACAUGAAGUCGGAAUUGCUAGUAAUCGCAGAUCAGCAUGCUGCGGUGAAUACGUUCCCGGGCCUUGUACACACCGCCCGUCACGCCAUGGGAGUCGGUAACACCCGAAGCCUGUAGUCUAACCGCAAGGAGGACGCAGUCGAAGGUGGGAUUGAUGACUGGGGUG
rnacentral:rRNA from 1 species